ACGUAGGUUGCGAGCGUUGUCCGGAUUUACUGGGCGUAAAGCGCGCGCAGGUGGUCCUGAAAGUCGAGCGUGAAAGCUCCCGGCCCAACUGGGAGAGGCCGUUCGAAACUUCAGGACUUGAAGGCGGGAGAGGCAAAUGGAAUUUCCGGUGUAGCGGUAAAAUGCGUAGAUACCGGAAGGAACACCAGUGGCGAAAGCGAUUUGCUGGCCCGCCCUUGACACUCAGGCGCGAAAGCUAGGGGAGCGACCGGGA
rnacentral:rRNA from 1 species